AUGUACGCCUCCCACACCGUCUCCUCCUUCCCCCAUCUCAUCACUAGGGAAGACAAGGCAAGCGGGAGUAAGAUCGGCCGUGUAGGUCAGAUCCAUCCGCCACGACCUCGACGGAGAUGGCACAGUGGAUUGAGCGGACCUGCAAAUCGUCAAGCCAAGGUAGCAGACCAGCAGGGCUCCAUCCUUGAUUUCCUUGACCAUCUUGGAUUACCUUCCUCACACACAGGGCAGCAGGGCUCCAUCCUUGUUCUCUUCUCCAUGGGGGUCACGCACAGGGCUCCACCUACAAGUGAAGAGAAGACCACUGCUCCUCCGGGUCUGCUUCUUCCUACUCUUCAAGGGGUGAUCGUCAUGGACUACCCACCUGGUGGGCAUCGUGCUCUUCAACAACUCGGAGACGGACUUCACCAUGAAGCCCGGCGACUGCGUCACACAGAUGAUUGUCCAGGUGAUUGUGACGCCGGAGGUCGACGAGGUGGAGGACCUUGA
rnacentral:rRNA from 1 species